rnacentral:lncRNA from 1 species
UCCAGCCGGGGCUCCCGGCCCGCGCCUUGGUGGCUGGAGGCCCAGGAUGAGCCUCGAUGGCGAGAGGCCCAGGAUGCGCCACCAGGCCGGGCUCACUUCUUUGACGCCGAAUAAACUGACAAAACAAUUAGCUGGCCGGCUGGGGAAGGUGGUGGGUGACUCAAAUGCCAGUCGGCUGCGUGCCCCCGCGCUUAGAUGAGUCUGGGAUUCUGGGCAGUUGGGACUUUCUUUUCAGGAAAGGAGGUGAGAGGUGCCGGGGAAGCCCACACGAGCAGCCACUCUUGGAGAAAUGGGGAAUGGCGCUGUAAAAGCGCAGGCCCUCCUCCUCCUCCUUUCUCCCCAUCACACAAAAAGGAUGGGCCUUGAAAGGGAUGAGUUUAUUAUGCACUUUUAAAUGCCUAUUCAGAAAAGAACAGGAGGCAAAAAUAAAGAUGCUUCCCACCCCACCAAUUCCCUUCCCUCGAAGAAAAAAGGAAAGAGAAAGCAACCCACAAAGGUCUUUCUUUCCAGACCUGUGGUCUCUCCCCACCUCCAGCCUCUUAUGGAGAGCAAAGGAAGGAAAUGGGAACAGGACUCAACAGCAACAUUCCAGGAAAAUGAAUAGAAUGUGGGAACGGUUCGAAAUGAUAAAUCCAGGUGAUAGAACGAGUUUCAAAGAGCAAGAGCCUGAUGGUAAUAGGGAAGCCAGGGGAACGGCAGAGGUUGUGCAGAAGACGACUCUGGCAAAAUAAGGACUGUGGAGAGAAAGUAAGUGGCUUUUAAGAUCUUAAACAUGGGGUCAAAAUUAUACCAUGAGAAGAAAGAAAAAGUCCCUGGGAGUGUUUGUAGACAGACCAAAGGACAGAACGUGAAGAAGGGCCUAUGAGAGAAUUGGUAUCCGGAAGAUUGUUUAUGUGCAACACUUCUGAGGAAUAAAGGGUGAUAAACUGUCUCGUGAGAAUGAACUACUGGAAGGACGGAGAGACACAAGGAAUGGCUGCAGUCAAGGUGAAAUGUAGGCCGUUGUGAGAGUUUCAUCCCAGGGCAUGAUGAGAAUGCCAGGGCCUGAUGCGUGUCAACGGUGCUUCAUCUGCUCAGAGAGUGUCCUAAAACCAGUCAGACCCUAGAUGUAGAAGUAUGCCACCCAAUGUCACCUAGCAGUUCAAUGCCAGGGAGAGAAAAUUCAGGCUUUCUUAUCCCCCUUCUAGUGCAAGCCCAUGGAAUAUGCCACUUUCCUAGUUAGGAUUUGGAAUUGGUCAUUGGGAAGGGCUCCGAAGAGAAACUCUGAGAAUUGUUGAUUUCCAUUUCAAAUCCCCCUAAUGCAUAAAAUAAGAAUGUGUUCUGCGGUGUUCCUCAGCUUAUUAACUUUUAUAAAAGAAAGGAAUGAUCUUUGUUGUUACUUGAAAACAGCCACAUUUGGAAAGGUCUACGCUACCCAAAUGUAAUAAAAAUAAAUUUUAGUUCAAUUGG